rnacentral:rRNA from 1 species
GAUUAACGCUGGCGGCGUGCAUAACACAUGCAAGUCGAACGAUGAAACUUAACUGAUUUCUUCGGAAUGAUUUUAAGUGGAUUAGUGGCGGACGGGUGAGUAACGCGUGAGUAACCUGCCUUGGAGAAGGGGAUAGCCUUUGGAAACGAAGAAUAAUACCCUAUGAUAUGAUAAUAUCUCAUGAUAUUAUCAUCAAAGAUUUAUCGCUCUAAGAUGGACUUGCGUCUGAUUAGUUAGUUGGUGAGGUAACAGCUCACCAAGGCAGCGAUCAGUAGCCGGCUUGAGAGAGUGUACGGCCACAUUGGGACUGAGACACGGCCCAGACUCCUACGGGAGGCAGCAGUGGGGAAUUUUGCACAAUGGGGGAAACCCUGAUGCAGCGACGCCGCGUGAUUUAGAAGGCCUUCGGGUUGUAAAAAUCUUUUGUAUGGGAAGAAAAUGACAGUACCAUACGAGUAAGGACCGGCUAAUUACGUG